rnacentral:rRNA from 1 species
UACGUAGGGGGCAAGCGUUGUCCGGAAUCAUUGGGCGUAAAGAGCGUGUAGGCGGCCAGAUAAGUCCGCUGUGAAAUCUCGAGGCUCAACUUCGAGCUGUCGGUGGAAACUGUCUGGCUAGAGUCCGGAAGAGGAGAAUGGAAUUCCUGGUGUAGCGGUGAAAUGCGCAGAUAUCAGGAGGAACACCGGUGGCGAAGGCGGGUCUCUGGGCCGAUACUGACGCUGAGGAGCGAAAGCGUGGGGAGCAAACAGG